rnacentral:rRNA from 1 species
UACGAAGGGGGCUAGCGUUGCUCGGAAUCACUGGGCGUAAAGGGUGCGUAGGCGGGUCUUUAAGUCAGGGGUGAAAUCCUGGAGCUCAACUCCAGAACUGCCUUUGAUACUGAGGAUCUUGAGUACGGGAGAGGUGAGUGGAACUGCGAGUGUAGAGGUGAAAUUCGUAGAUAUUCGCAAGAACACCGGUGGCGAAGGCGGUCUGCUGGGCCAAGACUGACGCUGAGGCGCGACAGCGUGGGGAGCAAACAGG